rnacentral:rRNA from 1 species
GGUCUUGACAUCUCGUGGCAACCCUAGAGAUAGGGCGUUGGCCUUGGGGGGACAGGAUCACAGGUGGCGCAUGGUUGUCGUCAGUUCGUGUCGUGAGAUGUUGGGUUAAGUCCCGCAACGAGCGCAACCCUUGAUUUUAGUUGCCAGCAUUCAGUUGGGCACUAUAAGGUGACUGCCGGUGACAAACCGGAGGAAGGUGGGGAUGACGUCAAAUCAUCAUGCCCCUUAUGACCUGGGCUACACACGUGCUACAAUGGAUGGUACAAAGGGCUGCGAGACCGCGAGGUUAAGCGAAUCCCAUAAAACCAUUCUCAGUUCGGAUUGCAGGCUGCAACUCGCCUGCAUGAAGCCGGAAUCGCUAGUAAUCGCGGAUCAGCAUGUCGCGGUGAAUACGUUCCCGG